rnacentral:lncRNA from 1 species
CGCAGGGACGGGAUGGGGCGGCGUCCGGGGCCGCUCGGCGCCCCCUCCCCACACCUUCCUGCUGCCCAGGGCUGGAGACCCCAGGGCGGGUUAAGGAUGGGCCGCCCGGAAGGGGAGAGGGAGGGUGGGGAGGGAGGCCGCGGCCGACCCGCACUGCAGCAGCUGUUGCCCGCGUGUGACUCGUCCAGUCCGGGCCGUGCCUCUUGGGCAGAGUCACAAGGCGCAGAGGGGAGGAAGGAGGGCACCGCGUCCCCUCUCUCGGUUCCCCGGGGACGAGUCGGGAGAUCCCGGCUUCUGCCCUCCCCUCGCCUCCCCCCGCGCUCGCCGGGCUGGGGAGGAGGAAACGCGAGCCGCGCGCAGACACCUCCUCCUCCUCCACCGCCGCCUUGGUCCCCGCGCGCGGUGCCUGUUGCUGCAGUCGCCGCGGGGCCGGCCGUGUCCUCGGCGGGAGGAGAGGUGGGAGCCGUGCUGAGAGGCUCUCCGGCCCCUGGCGGCGGGGAGCGCGGACCCGGCCAGGCACGAUGGACGCCCCGCCCGCCCAGGCCGUCCCCCCGCUGCUCCCCGGCACCUGCGCGCCCCGGCCCAGCCGCGGGCUCUGAGAGCGCCGGCCCAGGAUUCUGCAUCAAAAGUGUGUGAAAUAGGCUGCUUGGUCUAAAAUAGAAAACAGUGGCAACGUUUCACUGAGUAUCCAGACCUUUCCCAAGAUGGAACCAAUAACAUUCACAGCAAGGAGACAUCUGUUCCCUAAUGAGGCCUCGGUGAACUUCGGCCUUCAGCUGGUGGGCUCUCUGCCUGUGCAUUCCCUGACCACCAUGCCCAUGCUGCCGUGGGUCGUGGCGGAGGUACGAAGACUUAGUGCGCAGUCCUCCAAAAAGGAGCCCGUUACCAAGCAAGUCCGACUCUGUGUUUUGCCCUCUAGGUUGAGGUGUGAACCCGAGCCGGGGAGAAGUCAACAGUGGGAUCCACUGAUCUGUUCAAGCAUAUUUGAGUGUAAACCUCAGCAUGUCCACAAACUGAUUCAUAACAGUCAUGACCCAAGUUACUUUGCCUGCCUGAUUAAGGAAGAUGCAGCUAGUCAGCAGAGCGUCUGCUACGUGUUCAAGGCCGAUGAUCAAACAAAAGUAAGUUGCGGUGUGGAAUCAAUAAGAGUUAAGGUGUGGCAGGGUGGGGUUUAUUUUUUUGUUUUUUGUUUUUUUUGGUAUGAAGGCCAGAAAAAUUAUUUUACAUAUACUGGCAUGAAUAAAGGAGAUUCUUCUUUUAUGUAUAGAUUAUUUCACUGAACUUUUCAUUCAUUG